rnacentral:rRNA from 1 species
AUGGCCUCCUCGCCCUCCCCCUCGCCGGGGGCCACCAAGGCCUCCCCGGCCGACUCCGUCGCGCCCGCCACCUCCUCCCCCUUCUCCCCCGCCCCGGUCAAGCUGCCCAAUGACACCCCGGCCGACCCGCCGGCGGCCCCUCCCGCGCCCUCCGCGGCCGUGCCGCCGCAGACGCCAGAAUCCCCGCCGCCCCCUUCUCCGUCGCCGCCCCCGGACCCCGUCGCGUCGCCGCCGCCGGUCCCCGUCGCCUCUCCGCCGCCCACCCCGCCAGCAACAAUGCCGCCUGCUCAAGUGCCGCCGCCGCCCGCGCCUGCUGCCGACCCGCCCAAGCAGUCGCCUUUGCGGCCCCCUGCGCCGGCCGCGUCGCCGCCGCCGCCAAAGAGCACUUCUCCACCACCAAGCCCGCCGGAUCGCUCGACCGCGCCGCCCGUGCCGCGGUCACCACCGCCGCGCCACCCGGGGUCGCCGCCUCCUCCAACCGAGCCGCAGGCGCCGCCGCCCUCUGUCAGUCCCAUCAUCAAACCUCCCACCAGCCCCUCCCCAACCCCUGUAGAUCCCACCACCCCUACUGCUCCCACCACCCCCUCACCGCCGUCGACGCCAGGUUUUGGUCCUCCAUCCGUGCCUACCAGCCCAACAACAACCCCACCAACACCAAUUGCUCCCAACAUCCCACAGGUCCCCUCAUGGCAGGACAGCAGACCCUCGCCGAGCAGCGGUGGAUUGUCUAAUGGCGCAAAGGCGGGGAUCGGCAUCGUCGUGGCGAUUCUCGUGCUUAGUUUGAUCGGCGCCGGGUGCUGGUACAAGAAGAAGCGGAGGAGAAUGACCGGUUACCAUGCCGGGUUUGUGAUGCCUUCACCCUCACCAUCUGCUUCUCCACAAGUGUUACUAGGGCAUUCAGAGAAGACUAAAACCAAUUACAGCGCCGGGAGCCCUGAGUUCAAAGACACAAUGUCAGAGUACAGCAUGGGCAACUGCCGCUUCUUCACCUACGAGGAAAUGCACAACAUCACAAACGGUUUCUCUGAUCAAAACCUGCUGGGGGAAGGCGGCUUUGGGUCUGUUUACAAGGGUUGCUUGCCCGAAGGGAGAGAGGUUGCCAUUAAGAAACUGAAAGAUGGCAGUGGGCAGGGGGAGCGCGAGUUCCAGGCCGAGGUGGAGAUCAUCAGCCGCGUGCAUCACCGCCACCUGGUUUCUCUCGUUGGGUAUUGCAUCUCGGGCGACCAGCGCUUGCUUGUCUACGAUUUUGUGCCCAAUGACACGCUGCACUAUCAUCUACAUGGACGUGGAGUGCCGGUUCUGGAAUGGCCAGCCAGGGUUAAAAUCUCUGCUGGAUCGGCUAAAGGAAUAGCAUAUCUUCAUGAAGAUUGUCAUCCCCGAAUUAUCCACCGAGAUAUAAAAUCCUCUAAUAUUCUGCUGGAUAACAACUUCGAGGCACAGGUUGCUGAUUUUGGUCUUGCAAGACUAGCCAUGGAUUUUGCUACGCAUGUAACUACACGGGUGAUGGGAACUUUUGGGUACAUGGCUCCAGAGUAUGCAUCCAGUGGCAAAUUGACAGAGAAAUCUGAUGUCUUCUCUUUUGGCGUUGUCCUCUUAGAGCUCAUUACUGGUAGAAAGCCCGUCGACGCAUCAAAUCCAUUGGGUGAUGAGAGCCUUGUCGAGUGGGCUAGGCCACUGCUGACCCAAGCGCUCGAGACUGGCAAUGCAGGGGAGCUGCUGGACCCCAGGCUGGACAAGAACUUCAACGAGGUCGAACUGUUCCAUAUGAUCGAAGCGGCAGCAGCCUGCAUCCGAUACUCGGCAGCCCGGAGGCCCCGGAUGAGCCAGGUGGUGCGCGCUCUCGAUAGCCUAACCGACGUCGACCUGACCAACGGGGUGCAGCCGGGGAUGAGCGAGAUGUUCAACGCCCCCAACACCGCGGAGAUCAGGCUGUUCCAGCGGAUGGCGUUCGGGAGCCAGGACUUCACGACCGACUUCACCCAGUCCAGCAGCUGGAACAGCAGCCGUCAGGGCGGAGACGCCGAUGCCUCUGGUGGGCCGAUGCACUCGCAAUUGCAACCAUAG